UACGGGGGGGGCAAGCGUUGUUCGGAAUUACUGGGCGUAAAGGGCUCGUAGGUGGCCAACUAAGUCGGACGUGAAAUCCCUCGGCUUAACCGAGGAACUGCGUCCGAUACUGGAUGGCUUGAGUUCGAGAGGGAUGCUGAAUUCCAGGUGUAGCGGUGAAAUGCGUAGAUAUCUGGAGGAACACCGGUGGCGAAGGCGGCAUCCUGGACCGACACUGACGCUGAGGAGCGAAAGCCAGGGGAGCAAACGGG
rnacentral:rRNA from 1 species